CAACAGCCCUAAUCAGUGCGAGCGCUGUUCAGGCCUUCGCGUUGCAUAGCAAAUGACGUUUCAUAAAUAUUCAUUAGUUCGAGGAAUUUAGGGAGAAAAGCAGGAACUACUAACAGUAUGUGGUCUUGGGUGUGAUUUAUGUCUGGGCCUCUCUGGAAUGCAAAAGAGGAGACCCUUAUUCCACAAGAUCUGUUUAUUUGCUCGUUACCACGGUUGAAGGGGACACUUGCUGGAUUGCCUUUCCCGGUAGCGGGGUUCAAACUAUACAAACCAGAAAGCAACAGACAGGCAGGCUUGACACUGCUGAUAUGGCACGGUGAGGGGGAAGCAAAGCCCGACGCGUGGGCUGCGGGCCCCAGAGCAGUGUGGGCUGGAGUUGUUACUCUUUCUCUGGAUGUAUUUCAGUGCUGCCUAAUGGUUUGUCUAGCCCUUUCCAUAUGAUGUUUCCCCAUGGAAACCUAGAUGCAGCGCCGGAAGAAAGGAAAGCAAACAAACAAUAGCACCACGCUCCAAAAGCUAGAGCAUCAGCAUACAGCCCGGGAGAAGGUCCAGAAUCGGGGAUUUCUCUCCCAGCCAUCAGGAGGUCUCCAGGUCCACAGGAAAGUAAUAACUAGCCAGCCAGGAGCUGUAAGAUGCUGGUGACAGACGUGUCUGUUUUGGAGGUGGGUGCAGAUGAAUCCAAGAUUUAGGAUGAGACAAACGCAAAGCCUGAUGGGAGCCUGUGAAUGGUAAUGGUGGCAUCUCUUUAUCCAGUCUUGGAGUUGUGCUGACUUCUUCAAACAACAUGAUCUCAAGGAGCUUUUAAUCUUAAAACUCCCCUCUGUCUGUGAGGAUGCUUUCUGCUCUCAGCCAAGACCAAGAUUUCUUCUUCCUUUCAGUCUCUUUUAGUUAAAAGGUGCAAUUAUUCAAAACAUUGUUUCAAGGACACUUGCAAAGAGAGGCCUUGUCAUCCAUCUGAGUAACGCCUUGACACAUUUGAAUUUGGGCAACUUGUUAAACUGUAAUCAGCUGCCUCCCUUCCCUGGUUCUUCAAAACAGGUUUCAAAGGACUGUUGCCGCGGAGUUCUUAAAUUCACUCUGGGACUUAAAAAAACUGGCAUUGGAUUUUCUGCUGAGUCAAAGGAAGAUGAAGGGAAUUUAUACCCUGCCAUAUGUUUUCCCCAGCAGAACUGAUCAGCGGCGAGUCGGCUGUGGUAGGACACAGCUGGGCUAUGAGGACUGUGGGGAUACGUCUGAGGUCAAUUUCAAAUUCCUCUCUGGAAGCUGGCAGAGUCUGCUCUGCAGAGCCAGACUUACAAUAUCCUGGGUGACUCUAGGGAGCAGAUAAAACCUUGGAUUUUUUUUUUUUUUAAAAUGAAUUUAUCUUCUAGAGAAACUGUAGCUCAACGGCUUCCGGUUUGUGAAGAGAUGGGAGGUGACUAGAUUAAGGUUCCCACUUGAGGCCAAGUGCGAAUAGUUAACUGCCAGAAAUGGAGGGGCAAAAGUGUCUCUCAUGAUUUCAUACCAGGAACCUAAGGGAGACGGAGCUGAGUGAUCUGGACGAAAUGACUUUCCUAAGAUCCUUGUUUCUCUGCACAAGCCCCUGUUGCAGUGCCAGGCAUUUGAUGAAAAGAAUGGGUAGAAGUGCUAAUAGCUACUUUGCUUCUGCGGAAUUUUGUCUUCUGGGAAAGCAUUACAAAACAGAACAGAACAGCCAAUCUAAGAGGUGGAGAACUGUGUAUAGGUGGAACGAAUAAAGAAAACAGGGAGCCUUUAUGGAGGAGAUACAGUGUAGCCAGUGAACACAGGACUGCUUGCUGUGGUUACACAGGAACUGUAGAAUAUGCGAGGGUGAGCGUCAGGCAGAGCCUGUACAGACUGAAAAAUUCAAAUAUUUCAUAGUAUAGAUGGUAACUUUCUAGAAUCUCCAGGAUGUAUGCAGAGGAGUCUGUUGGCUAUCGUAUAUUCAUUCUGUUGCCUCCUCUGUCUCAAGGUAACCCUUUGUUCAGGUCUUCACUGAUGUGGGAUUCCCCUCUGUAUACUGUGAUUACCAUUGAUUAAUAAAGAAAUUGCUUUGGACCUAUAACAGGGCAGAACUUAGGUAGGCGGGGAAAACUAAACUGAAUGCUGGUAGAAAGAAGGCCGAGUCAAAGGAAGCCAUGUAGCCCCACCAGAGAAAGACGCUGGAACUUUACCUGGUAAGCCACAACUACAUGGCGAUACACAGAUUAUUAGAAAUGGGUUAAAUUCAGAUGUAAGAGUUAGCCAAGAAGCUAGAGCUAAUGGUCCAAGCAACAAUUCAAUUAAUACAGUUUCUCUGUGGUUAUUUUGGGAACAAACAAGUGGACCCCUUACCACAUUUCACCCUUCUCUAUGUUCCAUAAGGUAGUUUGCAUCAUUACUGGUCUCAGAUUUCUUAUUGGCCUAAUCCAUUAUGGUGGUCACAUUAUUUCACCAGUGAUUGUUUUAGACACGGGCAGAUACAUUUUUUUUUUUUUUUAGCAACAAACCACGAAGUAAUUUAGUUGUGGGCCUCUCUGUACAUUUUUCUAUGAAUAGUCGAAUGUUCCUUCCCUCUGACGAGAGGGAGAAGAAAUAGUAUUUCUGUUAUUUACUAGUUACUGUACCAGGUUUUUUGCUAGAUGCUUCCACAAAUGAUCUUUUAUUCUUAGGGAAGAAAUGGCACAUUUUAUCACAUCCUUUCCCGCACGGAGAUGCAAGAGUAGUUAACCAUCUCUCCUUGACAGAAUCGGCAUUCAAGCCCAGACAUACACAGUUUCAGAUACAUCACCCUUUGUGCUAGGUGCGUUCAGAGCAGAAUACAUUCGGCAGGGGAUUCUUGAGUACUUAUCUGGCUCAGUCUUCAAUACUGUACUCAAGUGGGGCUAGGUUCUAAGUCCGCAAAGCCAUGAGUGGCAACAGGCUUGGUUUGUCUGAUGACCCUCUGAAAUGGCAGUAGCCAGGAUGUGAUAUUUAUUCAGUAAUGCUGGCUGGAGAAUAUGCCUGAGAGUUUCCUUAGGGCUAAUGCCUUCCUGCCGAAUUUUAAUCAUUUGGAGAUUUUGAUUUAAGUCGUGGACAGACUCUGCAGAGAACUUCAAGUGAUUGUUAUUUAGCUCAACAUAAGCAACUGACUUUCUUUCUUUUUUGGCUGAACUUGCUGACUGAUAAAAGUCCAGGCUUAUUUUCUUUAGGAAAAACAACAUUAAUUUAACAUUAAUUAACAAAUAUAAACAUGAUUUAUAUUUGUUAGCCUCUGUGGGAGAAGAGAGAUGCUAGCUGUGGGUUUAUUCUCUGUGAGUUGUUAGAGCUGUGGAUUGGCUCUUCUGUAUAUUUAUUUAUAUUUUUUUUGUAACAUUGGGAUAAAAUCAAAGGCCUUGAACAUGCUAGGCAGGUACCCUAUCAUUGAAGUACAUCUGCAGUCCCUUAGCUGGGAUCUUGUUAUAUGAAGGCAUUAGCUGAGAAAAUGUCAAUGGGGAAAAACAUUUGAGGGGGAGGGGGGGAAGAGGCAACAGCAGGUUUAGGGAAUCCAAGUCAGGGAAGCCAUGGAUUUAUCUUCUUUAAAAAUGAACCAGAAAGUGGCACGGGGAAGGGCUGAGAAGAGAGCAAGGACAGGCACCGCGGGGCAUGCCAGCAUUUCAGAUUUUGUUCCAGAGAGCAUGGCUGUCAAACAGAAGAAUGGAUUGCUGAGGGGAAGACAACUGAAGGGAGGUAGCUGCAAAGCAAACCCACUAGCAGGCAUCUUCAGUGAGCGAGGUAAGGGAUGGCAGUGUGGGCAGAGUAAUGACACCAGAGUUGGCAAGAGAUUGACAUAUUUGAGAGCUAUUUUAUAGAAUCUAUGGCUUGUUGCUAGAUGGAAAAGGUGGACAUGAGCAGGAGGAAGCAUCCAUGCCAAUAUGUGGAAUGAAUGACAUGGUGCACAGGCAUACCACCACCAAGAUGCAAAGCCCAGGAGGAAGAGCAGAGUGAAGAGGGAGCCUUAAGGCUCAGGUUGGGACAAGUGAAAUUUGAGAUGCCUGCAGGGCAUUCAAGAGCAGAUGUCAUGCAGGAAGGCAGAGAUGCACUCUGUUGGGAAUUAUUGCCAAAUAGAGGCUAUUUGAACAAUUAUUGGCUUGAGCUGUGUUUUCUUCUUCUCCCUUUAAUGUCAGGAUGGCCUUGGACUUGUUUAUUUGGCUCUUCUCUUUAGAGUAUUUGGACUGUGGUACUGGUUACAGUUUUCAGUCUCCUAUUUGAAUCACCUGAAUUGUGCUUUAUUUUGCAAACUUCUUUUUAAUUAUGCUGUAAAGACAUAGCAUUUCAACAGAAAGAAGAAAUUUUGACUAUUUGUGUGCCUUGGCCCAGUCACAUGGUAUCUCUUGCUCUUAGUUCCUUAACUAUAAAAGAAGUACUGGUUGUUUUCAGUUUUGAAAAAUUACCACAUUAUAAUCUGACAAUUAUUAGUUAAGGUGUGUCUAGAUUUUUAAACCAAAAAAGGUCUUAUUACUCAACUUUCACCACUGGGGACUUAGCAAUGUUCUGAGUUAGAUUUUUAAGGGAUAUUGUGAAAUCUACAUCAGAUCCAGCAAUUCAUGGGUAAAGCAAACACUAUUCAUAUUAGUCCCAAAUAUUCCUGCUAUCAUUUAGAAAUAUUUCUUCUAUAUUGACAGAUUUUUUUUUAGGAUAGUUUGUGGACUAGAAGUAGAAUUCUGAUUUUUAUCUAUUGGAAGAAAAUCACACUUAAAUAGAAAAACGAACAUGUCUCAUUGAACAUUACUGUAGGAAUGGGCACUUUUCAAGCAAAUCCAGGUGCUCUACGUGUCAUGGAGUAUCCUGGUACAAUAUUGAUCAGGAGGCACAAGUAACUUGAAGUCCUUAUAGUUUUCAAAGGAAAGCUAUACAAAGCAUCAGCAUCAGCAGCAUUCUCGCCAUACCUCAGUG